rnacentral:rRNA from 1 species
GACGAGGGGUCCUAGCGUUGUUCGGAAUCACUGGGCGUAAAGAGUUCGUAGGCGGCUCCGUAAGUCGGGUGUGAAAUCCCAUGGCUCAACCAUGGAAGUGCAUUCGAAACUGCGGAGCUUGAAUAUGGAAGAGGGUAGUAGAAUUCCUGGUGUAGUGGCUGAAAUACGUAGAUAUCAGGAGGAAUACCGGUGGCGAAGGCGGCUACCUGGUCCAACACUGACGCUGAGGAGCGAAAGCCAGGGGAGCAAACGGG